UUUAGACUGUAAAAGUGGGUGUGGUUUAAGGGUCCGUUAUAAAGACUCAUCGCCCCUUCAGUCGGCCAUUUCCCCUGCAGCUCACACUGAGGUUUUGUGCAGUGGAUACAGUUGAGGCCAAAAGCAUUGGAGGUGACGUAAAGGUUUGGGUUUUGCAAAGUUUGCUGCUUAAGCUGUUGUUCAUGCACGUUGUUUCUAGAUUAUUGUGCAGAGUGAUCAGAUGGAUCCCCACCAAACUUCCCUGGUUUUGACCCUGGCAUAAAAUAACCAGCUAACCUCCAUUUCUCUAAUCAGCACUACCAUACUGAUUGGAUUUUAAGAGCAGAUUGAUUAUUAUAAAAUUAGGUAAAGUUCUUCCAAUCAUUGUAUUCUUGUUAGCAAUGGUCCAAAGAGAGAACCUCAAGGACCAACUAAAAUUUUGCACAAAAUAUAAUGAUUGGUGCAAAGUUAUCUCAGAAGUUUCCCUUCUGACUGUUUGGGACAUCGGUAAAAUGUAUUGUCCAGAAAAGAGCUGAAGAUGUAAACUUUUAAAAUGUAUGAAAUGCACGUCACUGUUUUCCAGUGUUCUGUAAUAACAUGUAGAAACUAUCUUCAAACACUGAAGCAGCAAACAUUGCAAAAUAAUAUGCAUCACUUCCAAAGCUCUUGGCUCUGAUUGUACAGCAGCUGAACAGCUUUUUUGGACUUCCUGGACCAGUUUACUGACCCAAAUGAGAUGUUUCUCAACCUUCUCAAUGGCCUGGUGUGCGUUGUGCCCAUUUUGGCCCCAGAAUCCAUGUUUUUGAAAGACUUUCACUGAUGCUGUUCAAGGCGAACACACAUCAGUGAUCAUGGCUUCGACCGGUGAUGUGUUCCCUGAAACACUGAGGGUGUUUUCAGAUUGGAGAUUUCAUCGCUUUGAAUCUCUAAUCAGCGUUUCAUGCCAAAUCUUGUGCCCUGAUGGGUUUCUAUUUUAAAACAGAACUGGAUGAUCUAUUGUGGUUUUCAGGGUUAUCCUGGCAGUUUGUCUUACACAGCUGAAGGUCUGGGUGAACUAGGCACUGUUUGAGAGGAAACCUUUCCUUGAUCAGGAUGUACUACAAAGAUCCUGGAGUGCUGCCCUAGACAAGGUCCUCUCUAAAUAGAACUGAGCAACUUGGUGCUGUGGAGGUCAUGGACAUGAAGUUAUGCCUACAAAUGCUGUCAGAACUUAAUAAAGCUCUUGAGUGAA